GGUUGGAGAGAAUUUUGCAACGAAAGGAAGAAACGACCGAGGAAAAAUAAGGAAAAAGGUUUGUUGAAAUUUCUUUUAGAUUUUCCUAUAAAUUUCUUCUCCUCCUUCGUUUAAAGUGAGCGAUAUAUUUCUUGAAGGUUAAGGAAGGGAUUGAAGCGAGGAAAAAGGAAAUUUCGGGAAGAAGGAUUUUGGGAGAUUUGGAAAAUCCAAUUAGAUUUGGAGAGAAAUUCGAAGUAACACCCUUCGUCGAAGACCUGAAAAGUUCAAGUGGGUAUUUUUAAAAGUUUAAAAUUUCUUUAUUUCAAUUCUAUUUUUGUUUAGAAAGAAGUAUAUGCGAAAUUGAUUAGAUUUAUGAUUUCUCCUACUUUUGGAGAAAUGAUUAACUAAAAUAAGCAACGACAUGUAUGAGUACAAUUAUAGAAAAGAAAAAGGAUAUGUUAUGAGUAUAUCAAAGAAAUAGAAAGUAAAGUUUAGAAAGAAAACAUACACAUGUACAUGAUUCGUAUAUGCAAAUGAUAAGUAAAAUUUAUAGAGAUGCAAGUAAGAUAUGUUGUAUGCAAUUGUAUCAAUAAUGAUGAAAAUGAGAAAAGAAAAGAAAAGAAAAGAAAAAAAAAAGGAAAAG